rnacentral:rRNA from 1 species
GUGGCGAACGGGUGAGUAACACGUGGGUAACCUGCCCAUCAGAGGGGGAUAACAUUCGGAAACGGAUGCUAAAACCGCAUAGGUUCUACAGUCGCAUGACUGAAGAAGGAAAAGAGGCUUCGGCUUCUGCUGAUGGAUGGACCCGCGGUGCAUUAGCUAGUUGGUGAGGUAACGGCUCACCAAGGCCGUGAUGCAUAGCCGACCUGAGAGGGUGAUCGGCCACAUUGGGACUGAGACACGGCCCAAACUCC